UACGAAGGGGGCUAGCGUUGCUCGGAAUUACUGGGCGUAAAGGGCGCGUAGGCGGACAUUUAAGUCAGGGGUGAAAGCCCAGGGCUCAACCCUGGAAUUGCCUUCGAUACUGGAUGUCUUGAGUUCGGGAGAGGUGAGUGGAAUGCCGAGUGUAGAGGUGAAAUUCGUAGAUAUUCGCAAGAACACCAGUGGCGAAGGCGGCUCACUGGCCCGGUACUGACGCUGAGGUGCGAAAGCGUGGGGAGCAAACAGG
rnacentral:rRNA from 1 species